UAAUGAGCUACAGGAAAUUUAAGGCCU
rnacentral:piRNA from 1 species